UCAGCUUCUUCGAUCUUCUAACUCCCGUUUCUGUUCGUUCAUAGAGGAUGCCUGAUGGGGAGCAAUGGAGGACCCACCAUAGGAUUCUCGCCCCUGGGCUGAGAUGGAAGAUGGACCUGUGAACACUUCUCAGCCCAUUUAUCCUAUUGCAUGAACCAUUAUCACAGGCAGGUAUAUAUCUCUGAAUGUGAGUACAGAGAAAAGCAACAGCAACAACAUUCAAGACUAUUAAACACGCUGGCAACUGUGCAGUCGCUGGGAAGAGGAUAAAAUGGAGGGAAUAAACCUCAGCUUAUCUGAUGUAUUUGUACUUUUA
rnacentral:lncRNA from 1 species